CGAGUCGACUACACGGUUGCGCAGGCAUUUAAAUGCUUGUGAGGAAAGUCCGAGCUCCGCAGGGCAGAAUAACGGCUAACGGCCGCCGAGGGCAACCUUAGGGAAAGUGCAACAGAGAUAUACCGCCGAUUAUUUCGGUAAGGGUGGAAAGGCGAGGUAAGAGCUCACCGCAUCUUUUGGAGACAUAAGAUGCCUGUAAACCCUAUUCGGAGCAACGCUGACUGUAACUAUACACCUGCCCGGUGUGUUACGACGAGCGGCUUGAGCAGGGGAGUAAUUCACUGUCGAGAUAGAUAACCGUGCACGACAGAACUCGGCUUAUUGUCGGCUCCUUAA
rnacentral:RNase_P_RNA from 1 species